GUUUCUUUAGCUCAGUUGGUUAGAACAUGGUUCUGAUAACACCAAGCUUGCAGGUUCGAUCCCUGUAUGGCACA
rnacentral:tRNA from 1 species